rnacentral:rRNA from 1 species
GUUGGGUCGUAACUGGCUCAGCGUGAGGUGAAUCUAGAUAACUCUGCUGAUCGUAUGGCCUUGAGCUGGCGACAUUUCAAUUGAAUAUCCGCCCUAUCAACUUGAUGGUAAGGUAGUGGCUUACCAUGGUUGCUACGGGUGACGGGGAAUCAGGGUUCGAUUCCGGAGAGGGAGCCUGAGAAACGGCUACCACAUCCAAGGAUGGCAACAGGCGCGCAAAUUACCCAAUCCAGACACUGGGAGGUGGUGACGAGAAUUACUUGGUGGCGGCAAACGCCGUCACCUGGAAUGAGUGCCAUAUAGAACUCGCAACGAAAGCAACUGGAGGGCAAGUCUGGUGCCAGCAGCCGCGGUAAUUCCAGCUCCAGUAGUGUACCUUGAUGUUGUUGCGUUUAAAACGCUCGUAGUUGAAUCACGAAGUGGUGGUCGGUCAAUCGGCUUUGUCGCACAUCAAAACCGGUUCUCUGCCGACUCGUAUGUUCUAUCAUGCGGGUGCGGUGUGUGAUUCGGGGUGCGGCGGGUCGAUGCUCAGCCGGCCGCCACUAAUUUCGUGUGAGGAUGGCAGUUGACCUUUAGUGCGUCGACUAUCGUGUCUCACAGGGUGUGCCUUGAAUAAAUCAGAGUGCUUAAAGCAGGCCCCUCGCCUGAAUGAUAAAGCAUGGAACGAACAAACGUGGAUUAGUACACUGCGCGGCUGUCUCAGUUUGUCUUUGGCAGGCUGGGGUCAGUCGGUGRUGUACAGCACCAACCACCAGUAUCGGAUGUUGGUUCUCCGUAUUGGGGUGAUGAUUAAGAGGAGCGGUUGGAGGCAUUGGUAUUUGGCCGCGAGAGGUGAAAUUCUUGGACCGGCCAAGGACUAACAAAUGCGAAGGCAUCUGCCUAGACCGUUUCCAUUAAUCAAGAACGAUAGUGGGAGGUUCGAAGACGAUCAGAUACCGUCCUAGUUCCCACCGUAAACCAUGCCGACUCGGGAUCAGUUUGGUGAUACUACCUUACGCUCGAGAUUGGUCCCCCUGGGAAACCUCAAGUCUUUCGGUUACGGGGGGAGUAUGGUCGCAAGGCUGAAACUUAAAGGAAUUGACGGAAGGGCACCACCAGGGGUGGAGCCUGCGGCUUAAUUUGACUCAACACGGGACAUCUCACCCGGGCCGGACAUCGAUAGGAUAGACAGACUAAUAGAUCUUUCUUGAUACGGUGAUUGGUGGUGCAUGGCCGUUCUUAGUUCGUGGAGUGAUCUGUCAGGCCUAACCCGGUAACGUACGAGACCAUAAUCUCCAUUUGAGGUGCGAAAGAAUGCCUGCAGUCAGUGGGAAGCGCAAGUGGACCGCCUGGCGGCAGGAUUCAGGCAACUCGAUUCGGCAGGGUGUCCAUUGUCGAUCAUGGCUAACACUGUGGUCGGUGACGGAAGCUCGCGUCGCAGUCGUCAACUCCCUUUCGCCAAACAGGGGGCGGCUUCGGUCGUUAACUGUGUCAUGGAGAGACAAUUGUGAAUACCCCAAAGACAACGGAAGUAUGAC